rnacentral:rRNA from 1 species
UACGUAGGGGGGCAAGCGUUGUCCGGAUUUAUUGGGCGUAAAGAGCGUGUAGGCGGUUUGGUAGGUCCGCUGUGAAAACUCGAGGCUCAACCUCGAGACGCCGGUGGAAACCAUCAGGCUAGAGUCCGGAAGAGGAGAGUGGAAUUCCUGGAUGUAGCGGUGAAAUGCGCAGAUAUCAAGGAAGAACACCCGUGGCUAAGGCGGCUCUCUAGUACGG